rnacentral:tRNA from 1 species
ACUAUUUUGGCAGAAGAUUAUAGUGCAGUAGAUUUAGGAUCUAUAUAUGUGAUUAAAAAUCAUAAAUAGUA